rnacentral:rRNA from 1 species
UACGUAGGGUGCAAGCGUUGUCCGGAAUUAUUGGGCGUAAAGAGCUCGUAGGCGGUCUGUCGCGUCUGCUGUGAAAAUCCAGGGCUCAACCCUGGACCUGCAGUGGGUACGGGCAGACUAGAGUGCGGUAGGGGAGAUCGGAAUUCCUGGUGUAGCGGUGAAAUGCGCAGAUAUCAGGAGGAACACCGGUGGCGAAGGCGGAUCUCUGGGCCGGUAACUGACGCUGAGGAGCGAAAGCAUGGGGAGCGAACAGG